AGCGAACGCUGGCGGCAGGCCUAACACAUGCAAGUCGAACGAAGUCUUCGGACUUAGUGGCGGACGGGUGAGUAACACGUGGGAACGUGCCUUUAGGUUCGGAAUAACUCAGGGAAACUUGUGCUAAUACCGAAUGUGCCCUUCGGGGGAAAGAUUUAUCGCCUUUAGAGCGGCCCGCGUCUGAUUAGCUAGUUGGUGAGGUAAAGGCUCACCAAGGCUACGAUCAGUAGCUGGUCUGAGAGGAUGACCAGCCACAUUGGGACUGAGACACGGCCCAAACUCCUACGGGAGGCAGCAGUGGGGAAUCUUGCGCAAUGGGCGAAAGCCUGACACAGCCAUGCCGCGUGGAUGAUGAAGGUCUUAGGAUUGUAAAAUCCUUUCACCGGUGCAGAUAAUGACUGUAGCCGGAGAAGAAGCCCCGGCUAACUUCGUGCCAGCCGCCGCAGUAAGAC
rnacentral:rRNA from 1 species